UAAAUAAAUAAGUAAGAUUUACUUAUUCUCGAUUUAAUAAGAGUUAUAAAGUUAUAUAUUUUUUUGUAAAAAAAAAAUUUAACAUAAUUUUAUAGAAAUUAAAUGUUAUUCGAGUAUUAAUAUAUCUAGUUUCUUAAGAAAUAAAUUUAAUUUAGAAUUUAUAAUAUAAUUUUAUAACUAUUUAUGAAAUUAUUUGUAAAUUUUAAUAAAUUUAGGGAUAAGCUUAAAUUUAAAUAUUAAAUAAUAUAUAGAUUAAUUUAAUUUACGUAGGAUUAGAAGUGUCUUUUUGUGUUAUAACAAAUUUUAAAAAUUUAGAAAAAUUUAUAUUAUUUUUUAAUUUUUAUUAAGAAAAUGUAUUAAAUGAAUUUUUAUAAGAAAUAAUGAUAAUAUUAGUAUUAAAUAUAUUUUUAAAUUUAUUAAUAAAAGGUAAGGUAAUAUAAAAGAAUUCGGCAAAUUUUAUUCUUGCCUGUUUAAUAAAAACAUGGUUUUUUGAAAAUAAUAUAAAAUUUAACCUGCUCAAUGAAUUUUAAAUAGCUGCAGUAUACUAACUGUACGAAGGUAGCAUAAUCAUUUGUUAUUUAAUUGAUAACUAGUAUGAAAGGUUGGACAAGGGAUUGACUGUUUCUAUAUUAAUUAUAAAUAACUUUAUUUUUAAGUAAAAAAGCUUAAAUUUUUUUAAAAGACGAGAAGACCCUAUAGAAUUUUAUAUAAUAGUUAUAAUUUUAGAUUAGGAAUUUUAUAAAAUUAUAUAAAUUAUAUUUGAUUGGGGCGAUUGAAAAAUUUGAUAAACUUUUUUAGAUAAUUUUCAUUAAUGGAUGUUUUUUUGAUUCAAUAAAUUGAUUAAUAGAAUAAAUUACCUUAGGGAUAACAGCGUAAUUUCUAAUAAAGAUCUCAUUGAAAUAAAAGAUUGCGACCUCGAUGUUGGAUUAAAAUUAAUUUUGGGUGAAGGAGCUUAAAGAUUAGGUCUGUUCGACCUUUAAAAUUUU
rnacentral:rRNA from 1 species